GUGAGGAGCUGCAGGGGUGGGCCGGGGCUGAGGAGGAGGAACAGGUGCCGGGGAACUCCUAGGACCCCAGGCUGGCGGCCACUGCCUCCUCUGUCCCUUGGGCAUCUCCCUCUGCCCUGCCCUGGAGAACAUAACUCUUAGCAGGCUCUUGCAGCCUAGACUUUUGAUAGCACUGCUGCCUCUGACUCCAAUCGCUACCACUUCCCCCCUAAAGCUCCCACCUCUGAAGAUUCGCCUCAUAUCAUCUCCUCUGUGUAAUCUCUUCUCAGCUUCCCCUUGCCCCUAAGUCCCCACCCCUCCAUCCCCAAACAGGGAGCAUUGUCUCCGCUGGCUCCACUCUACUAGACCAGCAGGGAGACGGAGGAAGCAUUUACUCCCUGGCUUCCUUCUAUGGACCACCCACUGGGCAUAAUCUCCUCCCCUAAGGGUUGGGUGUGCAUGAGUAUGUCCCAAGUGCCAUCGCCCAGGCAGGUGCAAGGAUGUGUGAAACUGGAGGCGAGAGCCUGGCAGGCUGUACCUGGUGUGGCUGAAAGGAGAUAGGGAGGGAUGCCAGGCAGUCCUUAAGAGGACCUGGGGAAGAUUCAUCUUCAACCCCAGACAAGGGUCAUUCACCUGAAAUGCCAGGACCAGGAAGUCCUGCCGGCUGCAGGCACAGCAUGUCCAACGUGAUUGGAAAUCACUUCCUGCUGUUCAUGUCCUCUUGGAAGGUCAGGUGGCCACUGCAACAAGGUUACAGACAGCAGAUCCUGUGCUUCUCAGCCUCCAUGAUCACGUGGACUUCUGCAUUCUGGCAAAUGAAUGACUGCACCUGACCCGUGACUCAUGACUCAACUAGUCCUGUGGACCCCGCCUUGAGGUGGACUCAGUGCACCAGGACCAUUUUCCACACCCCUACAAUUUCAUCCCCAACCAAUCAGCAGCACUCAUUCCCUAGCCUGCUGUUCACCAAAUUAGCCAUGAAACCCCUACCUAGACUAGCCUCUGAGUUCUGAGAGAGGCUGAUUUGAGUAAUAAAGUAAUAAACUCCUGUUCUGCUUGGCUAGCCCUGUUUAUUAAACUUGUUCUCUACUGCAAUA
rnacentral:lncRNA from 10 species